AUAACUGUCUCUUUAUAGUUUAAUAAAAUUUAAUUUUUAGGUGAAGAAGCCUAAAUAAAAUUGAAAGACGAGAAGACCCUAUCGAGCUUAAAAAAAAUUAAUAAGUUAGCUAAAAAUGUUUAUCAAAAUAUUAGUUAUUAAAAAUUUUAGUUGGGGCGACGAAGGAACUAAUAAAACUUCCUGUAUUAAAUAAAUAUAUUCAAAUAUUGACCCAAAGUAUUUUGAGCAAAGAAAAUAGUUACCGUAGGGAUAACAGCAUAAUCUUUUUUGAGAGCUCAUAUCGAAAAAAAGGUUUGUGACCUCGAUG
rnacentral:rRNA from 1 species